rnacentral:rRNA from 1 species
UACGGAGGAUCCGAGCGUUAUCCGGAUUUAUUGGGUUUAAAGGGAGCGUAGGUGGAUUGUUAAGUCAGUUGUGAAAGUUUGCGGCUCAACCAUAAAAUUGCAGUUGAAACUGGCAGUCUUGAGUACAGUAGAGGUGGGCGGAAUUCGUGGUGUAGCGGUGAAAUGCUUAGAUAUCACGAAGAACUCCGAUUGCGAAGGCAGCUCACUGGACUGCAACUGACACUGAGGCUCGAAAGUGUGGGUAUCAAACAGG